ACGAACGCUGGCGGCGCGCCUAACACAUGCAAGUCGAACGGAGCUGAGAGGAGCUUGCUUUUCUUAGCUUAGUGGCGAACGGGUGAGUAACGCGUGAGUAACCUGCCCUGGAGUGGGGGACAACAGUUGGAAACGACUGCUAAUACCGCAUAAGCCCACGGAUUCGCAUGGAUCUGCGGGAAAAGGAUUUAUUCGCUCUAGGAUGGACUCGCGUCCAAUUAGCUAGUUGGUGAGGUAACGGCCCACCAAGGCGACGAUUGGUAGCCGGACUGAGAGGUUGAACGGCCACAUUGGGACUGAGACACGGCCCAGACUCCUACGGGAGGCAGCAGUGGGGGAUAUUGCACAAUGGGGGAAACCCUGAUGCAGCGACGCCGCGUGGAGGAAGAAGGUUUUCGGAUUGUAAACUCCUGUCGUUAGGGACGAUAAUGACGGUACCUAACAAGAAAGCACCGGCUAACUACGUGCCAGCAGCCGCGGUAAAACGUAGGGUGCAAGCGUUGUCCGGAAUUACUGGGUGUAAAGGGAGCGCAGGCGGACCGGCAAGUUGGAAGUGAAAUCCAUGGGCUUAACCCGUGAAUUGCUUUCAAAACUGCUGGCCUUGAGUAGUGCAGAGGUAGGUGGAAUUCCCGGUGUAGCGGUGGAAUGCGUAGAUAUCGGGAGGAACACCAGUGGCGAAGGCGACCUACUGGGCACCAACUGACGCUGAGGCUCGAAAGCAUGGGUAGCAAACAGGAUUAGAUACCCUGGUAGUCCAUGCCGUAAACGAUGAUUACUAGGUGUUGGAGGAUUGACCCCUUCAGUGCCGCAGUUAACACAAUAAGUAAUCCACCUGGGGAGUACGACCGCAAGGUUGAAACUCAAAGGAAUUGACGGGGGCCCGCACAAGCAGUGGAGUAUGUGGUUUAAUUCGAAGCAACGCGAAGAACCUUACCAGGUCUUGACAUCCGAUGCAUAGUGCAGAGAUGCAUGAAGUCCUUCGGGACAUCGAGACAGGUGGUGCAUGGUUGUCGUCAGCUCGUGUCGUGAGAUGUUGGGUUAAGUCCCGCAACGAGCGCAACCCUUAUUGCCAGUUACUACGUAAGAGGACUCUGGCGAGACUGCCGUUGACAAAACGGAGGAAGGUGGGGAUGACGUCAAAUCAUCAUGCCCUUUAUGUCCUGGGCUACACACGUACUACAAUGGCUAUAACAAAGAGAAGCGAGACAGUGAUGUGGAGCAAAACUCAAAAAAAUAGUCUCAGUUCGGAUUGAAGGCUGAAAUUCGCCUUCAUGAAGCUGGAAUUGCUAGUAAUGGCAGGUCAGCAUACUGCCGUGAAUACGUUCCCGGGCCUUGUACACACCGCCCGUCACACCAUGAGAGUUGGGGAUACCCGAAGCCUGUGAGCCAACAGUUAAAUGGGGCAGCAGUCGAAGGUAGAAUCAAUGAUUGGGGUG
rnacentral:rRNA from 1 species